GGCUUUUUUCCCCCUGUCUCGCCGGGGACGGUGCGGUCGUCCUCGCCGCCGCCGUUGCUACGACGCCCCUGCCCGCCUUUGCACGCCGCGGAGCCGGCCUCGCCUCCUCCCUCUCCCCCCCUUCCCCAGCCCGGCCCUACCCCACCCCCGCCCUGCCCGCCUCGCUCCCCCAAAUGAGCGGUUCGCCCGCCGGAUCUAACGCCAGGACAUCGCCCAGCAGCAGCGGAGGCAAGAGCGCGGCCGCCCCCACCCCGCCCGCAGCCCGCUCCCCGGGAGCGCUCUCGCACCUGCCCCCGGCGGACCCCCUGCGCCAGGCCAACCGGCUGCCCAUCAGGGUCCUGAAGAUGCUGAGCGCCCACAGCGGACACCUCCUGCACCCGGAAUACCUCCAGCCCCUCUCGUCCACACCCGUCAGUCCCAUCGAGCUGGAUGCCAAGAAGAGCCCGCUGGCGCUGCUGGCCCAGACCUGCUCGCAAAUCGGCAAGCCUGACCCUCCGCCGGCCUCCAAGCUGAACUCGGGUGCUGCCGGCGGCCUCUCCGGCUCGGACAAGGAACCGGGCAGCCGCGCCGCCUCCGGCGCCCUCAAGCCGCUGGGCGAGCCGCCCGGCGAGGACAAGUCCAGCUUCAAGCCGUACUCCAAGGGAGGCGGCGGCGGGGGGAGCAGUGGCGAUCCGCGCAAAGAGGGCGGCGGCGGCGGCCCGCCAAGCCAGGUCGGGCCGGGCCCGGAGAAGAGCGGCUUCCGCGUGCCCAGCGCCGCCUGCCCGCCCUUCCCUCCUGCCUCCGCCUCCUCGGCCGCCUCGUCUUCGUCCUCCCCGGGCGGCUCUCGGGGCAGCUCCCCGCAACACUCGGAGUGCAAAGGGCCGGACGAGAAGAAGGAGCUGGAGGCCAAGGCCAGCCCCGACGGCGCGCAGGGGGGCGCGGGCAGCCGGGCAGGCAGCGGCGCCGGGAGCGCGGAGCCCGGCGCGCACGGCGAGGCCUCUUCCGGGCGCAAGUCGGAGCCGCCGGCCCUGGCCUCGGGCCACGUGGCGCCGGUGUCGCCUUACAAGCCGGGCCACUCGGUCUUUCCCCUGCCUCCCUCCAGCAUCGGCUACCACGGAUCCAUCGUCGGGGCCUACGCCGGCUACCCGUCCCAGUUCGUGCCCAGCCUGGAUCCUACCAAGGCCGGCUUGGUGAGCAGCCAGCUGCCCGGGGCUUUGGCUUUGCCCGGGAAGCCACCGAGCUCCAGCCCACUGACUGGGGCCUCUCCGCCGUCCUUCAUGCAAGGAUUAUGCCGCGACCCCUAUUGCCUGAGCUACCAUAGCACCUCCCACUUGGGCACCAGCAACUGCUCCAGCUGCGUCCACGACCCAGGCAGCAGCCUGAAAAGCGGAUACCCCUUGGUGUACCCCACGCACCCGCUCCACACCACCCUUUCCUCCAGCGCCACGCCCAGCCUGCCGGGCCACCCGCUCUACACCUACGGCUUCAUGCUCCAGAACGACACCCUGCCCCACAUAUGUAACUGGGUGGCAGCCAGUGGACCCUGCGACAAGAGGUUUGCCACCUCGGAGGAACUCCUGGCCCACUUACGGACCCACACCACCCUGCCUGGGGCGGAAAAACUUCUGGCUGGCUACCCUACCUCUGGGCUGAGUUCUGCCGCCUCCUGCCACCUCCAUCUCCCGCCUACUGCCCCGGGAAGCCCCAGCUCCUUGCCGGGAUCCCUGUCUUUGAGAAGUCCACACACUUUGGGACUAAACAGAUACCAUCCCUACGGCAAGAGCCAUUUGCCCACAGCUGGGGCGUUGCCAGUGCCCUCCUUGCCAACAGCUGGACCCUAUUAUUCUCCAUAUGCCCUGUAUGGCCAAAGACUAACUUCAGCCUCUGCACUUGGAUAUCAGUAAUUAAAGCGCCGGCCGCGGCCUCCCUCCGUCUUGCGACCUCUCUUGUCCUUUGCCCUGGACUAUGUAUUUAUUGACUGUAUGUUAGCUUAAAGCUGGGAAUAUAAGUGCAUUAAUACACCAAUGAAUCAAUGGUAUGCAAAAAGUCUGUGUUCCCCCUCCCACAAAAAAAAAGAGUCCUUUACUUUUGCAGGUGUUGGGGGCUCUUCUUGUGUUUCCUUUUUAUCCCCUUUAAUUUCUUUCAAGUUUCCUGCCCCAAUGUCCUUUUGCAUGAUUCUCAACAGCAACAAAAAUGCAUUUCUUCUCCCACCCUCCCCUUUGUUUUAUCUUUUUUUAAAAAAAAAUCAGUUUCUCUUCCUUUUGUACAGUAACCAGAAAUGUAAUUUUUUUCCCUUUUGUGUAUUGUGUUCGGAGGAAGGGGUGGUGGGAGAUCGGCUGGAGGUGGUUUGGCUUUGCUGAGUUUGCUAGGGUAUCCCUAGCUUUUGGGUGCCAUCUCGAGAGGGUGGGCAGGGAGGCAAGGGAAGAGUCUAGCUUACUCGCAGCUUGGCUGGAACUGCUGCUCUUUAUAGUCAGGAUUCUUUCUCCUCUGUAAGGGUCUGUGUUGUCCAAGCUAGCUGGUUCCCCCACCACAUAGACAUUAUUGGCCUGCCAGUCUUAUGGGCACUUGGAUUGAUGCUGUGACAGUGAGGCCCAGGAAGCAAGGAGUCCACCAUGGGAGCAUCUUUCACCUUUUUUUUCUUAAAAGACCUGGAUUUAAAUGAAUUUGGCAUCCUCGAAUGACUGGAAUAGAGCAACUUUUUCACAAGCGCCAAAUGGAGAACUUGGAAGAACUUUGCUCAGCGUAGUAAGAGCUGGAUCCUGUCAAUGAGUCCAGCUAACCUUGGGGGGCCCGUUGUACCCUCAUCUUGAGGCUCAAAUCUACAUACCAAAAAAACAACCCCAAACAAACCCUCCCUAAUGCCCCCACCCCUCAACUUCUCUUGACCUAUAGGAAUGAAACAGUCAUUAGGGUGCGGAGCCUCCCCCAUCCUCAGUCUAACGCAACGGCGGAAGACUGUGGAUCAUUUUGGGUGAAUAGAGCUCCGUUCUGCAGAGGCUUCUACCUGACUAUUGAUUGUACCCACUGAAGAACUGAGAGAGAUGAUGGUAACACCUUUUUCGCCACAUGGGGGUGCAUUCAUACAGAUGUGAGCCUCAAUGGAAUUGCAGAUCUUUUUAAUAUGCAAACAUGGGAAGAAUGGAAAUUAAUCCUUAAAUGCUUUGACACUUGAGCUGAAACUUCCCAGAAACAAAGAAAACAGGAACAAGAAGUAGGUGGUGUUCAAAAGUGAUUGGAAAAUCCUCAUGAAUUGGAGACACUGGAAGCACAGAGCAUAAACUUCUUGAAGGGAUUUAUGAUGCUGUUUACAGCAAGAAUUAUUAUU